rnacentral:rRNA from 1 species
UGGGGAAUAUUGGACAAUGGGGGCAACCCCUGAUCCAGCCAUGCCGCGUGUGUGAAGAAGGCCUUUUGGUUGUAAAGCACUUUAAGCAGGGAGGAGAGGCUAAUGGUUAAUACCCAUUAGAUUAGACGUUACUGCAGAAUAAGCACCGGCUAACUCUGUGCCAGCAGCCGCGGUAAUACAGAGGGUGCGAGCGUUAAUCGGAAUUACUGGGCGUAAAGCGAGUGUAGGUGGCUCAUUAAGUCACAUGUGAAAUCCCCGGGCUUAACCUGGGAACUGCAUGUGAUACUGGUGGUGCUAGAAUAUGUGAGAGGGAGGUAGAAUUCCAGGUGUAGCGGUGAAAUGCGUAGAGAUCUGGAGGAAUACCGAUGGCGAAGGCAGCUUCCUGGCAUAAUAUUGACACUGAGAUUCGAAAGCGUGGGUAGCAAAACAGGAUUAGAUACCCUGGUAGUCCACGCCGUAAAACGAUGUCUACUAGCCGUUGGGGUCCUUGAGACUUAGUGGCGCAGUUAACGCGAUAAGUAGACCGCCUGGGGAGUACGGCCGCAAGGUUAAAAACUUAAAGGAAUUGACGGGGUCAUAGCUGUUUCCU